AUUGAACGCUGGCGGCAGGCCUAACACAUGCAAGUCGAGCGAGCGGCGGACGGGUGAGUAAUGUAUGGGGUCUGCCCGAUAGAGGGGGAUAACUACUGGAAACGGUGGCUAAUACCGCAUACUAUCGGAUAACCCAUAUGGGAUUAGCUAGUAGGUGGGGUAAAGGAUCACCUAGGCGACGAUCUCUAGCUGAUCUGAGAGGAUGAUCAGCAAGACUGGGACUGAGGCACGGCCCGGACUCCUACGGAGGCAGCAGUGGGGAAUAUGCGAAGAUGGGGGUAAACCUGAUGCGACAAUGCCGCGUGUAUGAAGGGUGCCUUGGGUUUGUAAAGUACUUUCAGCGGGGAGGCGUUGCGCGAAGAAGAAGCACCGGCUAACUCCGUGCCAGCAGCCGCGGUAAUUC
rnacentral:rRNA from 1 species